rnacentral:rRNA from 1 species
UACGUAGGGGGGCAAGCGUUGUCCGGAUUUAUUGGGCGUAAAGAGCGUGUAGGCGGCCAGGUAGGUCCGUUGUGAAAACUCGAGGCUCAACCUCGAGACGUCGGCGGAAACCCUCUGGCUAGAGUCCGGAAGAGGAGAGUGGAAUUCCUGGUGUAGCGGUGAAAUGCGCAGAUAUCAGGAAGAACACCCGUGGCGAAGGCGGCUCUCUGGGACGGUACUGACGCUGAGACGCGAAAGCGUGGGAGCAAACAGG